rnacentral:rRNA from 1 species
AUUGAACGCUAGCGGGAUGCCUUACACAUGCAAGUCGAACGGCAGCGCGGACUUCGGUCUGGCGGCGAGUGGCGAACGGGUGAGUAAUGUAUCGGAACGUGCCCAGUAGCGGGGGAUAACUACUCGAAAGAGUAGCUAAUACCGCAUACGCCCUACGGGGGAAGGGGGGGAUCGCAAGACCUCUCACUAUUGGAGCGGCCGAUAUCGGAUUAGCUAGUUGGUGAGGUAAAGGCUCACCAAGGCGACGAUCCGUAGCUGGUUUGAGAGGACGACCAGCCACACUGGGACCGAGACACGGCCCAGACUCCUACGGGAGGCAGCAGUGGGGAAUUUUGGACAAUGGGGGCAACCCUGAUCCAGCCAUUCCGCGUGUGCGAUGAAGGCCUUCGGGUUGUAAAGCGCUUUUGGCAGGAAAGAAAUCGCACGGAUUAAUACUCUGUGUGGAUGACGGUACCUGCAGAAUAAGCACCGGCUAACUACGUGCCAGCCGCCGCGGUAA